AGGGGGAGAAAUUAAUAUACAAGAAUAGUGUACGCUUUUUCCUUCAUUAGGGUUUCUAUCCCAUUGGAUUUUUUCCUAGUAAGGUUUUUAUGACGCAUAUUCUUUAUGUAAUAGACAUCCAAGGGGCAGUGUUAUGAAACAACUAAACGUGUGGAUGUCCAUUUGUAUUCUCAAAAGGAUUAAUUCAUAAUUCAUUGAUUCUAAGAGAAUUAAUUCAUAAUUCAUUGCUACAUUAUGUAAAGGAAUUACAUUGGAUGAACAAUUUCAAUUCAUAAGAGCUAUUUAUAUAUUGGAUGAACUGUUUCAUAUGGCUAUUCAUAUUCUUGUAGUAAUGAGAGUUUAAUAGAAAUGAUGUAUCUUUAAUUUUGUAGUACCUAUAUAUAGAGGUUCCUUGGCACCUCUUGAGAGUACUUUUGAUUAGUUGGAAUAAUAAGAAAAUCAUUUUCUAUUCCUCUACUUCUUUCUCUAAUAUUUCAAUUCCUAUUAUAGUAGUUUGUUUACCAUAAUCAAUUUUUAGAUGUCAAAACGAAAUAAUUCUAUGUAAAUUUGAUUUAAUUAAUCUAAAACAUAGCUUAGGACUUACAGGAUUGUUCUCAAGUGAUUCUAAUUUUGUAAAAGCUGAUUUUGUGAAAUUGAUUUUUAACAAAUUUUGUAGAAUAACUCCUGUGUUCUAGUUUAUAGUUAAUAAAGCUACUUUGAUAAACACUUAAGUGUUCUUGAAAAUGUUGAAAAGCUAAUCUCGACAAAAAGAUAACCAAAUUGCCAUUAUGUGAGACAUAAAUAACUUUUGUACGAUUGACAUGGAAUUUUAAUGUAAUUAAUUAUUUUUCUUAUGAAGAUUAAAUGUUGAAUAAGAAGAAGAAGGGAAAAAAGUGAAUCUAGAGGUGGAAUAAUGAGUAAGAAGAAAUGGAGAGAGAUGUGUGGCAAAAAUAUUUACUUAAUCUUUUUGUAGUUUAGUAAUUAUGUUAAAGUUUAAAGGAUUUUUUUUUGCAUGUAGAAAAAGUAGGCCAUAAUCUGAAUCUUAAAGCAAUUAAGAAUUAAGACAUGCUUUUUUUACUUUUGGGGCCCAAAAUAUCUAAAAUCGGGUUUCAAAAUCAGUUUUCAUAAAUCCAAAAUUAAAAUCAGAUUUAAAAGAUCAAUUGAGAAUGCCCUUCAUGUUUUUUAUGUUGUUUUAAUUAUUUGUGCUAUGUUAUUUUUGUUAAAUUGCAAAGUUAUUUCGUUAGAUGACAUAAUCGCGUACGAGAAUACAUGUUAAGCUAAAUACUGAGUUAACUAACCAAUUAGUUCAACUAGUGGUGACAUUUUUCUUGGUGCGGAACUUAAGGAUAGCCACUCACUUCCCAAAUCAAUAAAUGAUCCAAAGUUAUUCAUAAAACACAAUAUACAAGUAACAAUUUUGAAUUAUCAGCUAAAGUUUUGUAAAUACUAAAAACAAAUUCUCACUAUAUUUUAGUAAUUUCGAAUCACAAUGACAAUCAAAUAAAUAACAACUUAAAAGAUCACCAUUCAUUCCUUCAACUUGCUAAUCUCGAAUUUGAAUUGAAACUUAUUUAUCACAUUAUCACUUGACAAAAACUUGACCCCAUGAUUUUUCCAUUUGACAAAUGCCAGAUUUACCGAGUGCUAAUAAAUUGAUUAGCAAGGAUAAAAAAUAGAGCAUACUACUCAU
rnacentral:lncRNA from 1 species